rnacentral:rRNA from 1 species
UACGUAGGAGGCGAGCGUUGUCCGGAAUUACUGGGUGUAAAGCGCGCGUAGGUGGCAGGCCAAGUCUGUGGUGAAAGCGCCCGGCUCAACUGGGCAGGGUCCAUGGAAACUGGUCAGCUGGAGGACGGUAGAGGCGAGUGGAAUUCCCGGUGUAGUGGUGAAAUGCGUAGAGAUCGGGAGGAACACCAGUGGCGAAGGCGGCUCGCUGGGACGGUCCUGACACUGAGGCGCGAAAGCGUGGGGAGCGAACGGG